AUGCAGAGGAUCUGUUCGCUCAUCUAUCUCACCCUCUUCUGGGCAGGAGCCAUGUCAGCGAUCGUGUUGGUGUCUCAAGACCAAGUAAUGACUGUGUCCCUGGGGGAGUCUGCCACUUUCAGGUGCACCAUGGAAGGAGAGACAAUUAAUAACUACUACAUCAGCUGGUACAGGAGGACCCAGGGUAACGCAAUGACUUUCCUACACCGAGAAGGGGGCACAUAUGAGCCCAAUUUGGUGAACAAGUUCAAGGCUUCCAUUGAUCAGUCAAACAACCAAGCUGUGCUUGAGCUCUUCAAAGCAACACAGAGUGACGAAGGAAUUUACUACUGUGCCUCUGAGCACCACCCUGCUGCUGGACUGAGAGUUGAACUCACCUUUGGAAAAGGAACCCGUGUAACUGUGGAACCAAAAAGGCAGCCUCCAGCCAAGCCAUCUGUUUUCGUCAUGAGAAAUGGGACCAACGUUGCUUGUCUGGUGAAGGAUUUCUACCCUAAGAAUAUCAAUAUAAGUCUCCAGUCAUCCAAGAAAAUAAUGGAAUUUGACCCCACCAUCGUCGUCUCUCCCAGUGGGAAGUACAGUGCUGUCAAGCUGGGUCGAUAUGAAGAUUCUAAUGCAGUGACGUGUUCAGUUGAACACAACAAUCAAAUCGUGUACUCCACUGACUUUGAACCGAUGCAGAAUUCUUCAGAUAACCUAAAACCAACAGAACCUGAAAAGAAACAGCAAACUUCAAAGAUCUGCCAUGCCCUCAAAGUUCAAGCUGGGAAGGUGAACAUGGUAUCCCUCACAGUGCUGGGGCUCCGAAUGCUGUUUGCCAAGACUGUUGCUGUCAAUUUUCUCCUGACUGCCAAGUUAUUAUUCUGUUAAGGCUGCCGGGCAGGGGAGGGCUAUACUCCCUGAAAGAAAACCAAAGCCAGCAGAAGUGCUCCGAAGGCUUCCAACUUCUCAGUGAUUCAAGUUAACCCGCCUCAGCUUUGCUUAAAUGGCUGCUUCCCAAACAAGUUUUUCUUUUUUUUUUUUUUUUUGGCACGUGCCACUAGCGGGAACAGAACCCGGGACUCUCUGGUCCACAGGUCAAUGCUCCAACCGCUGAGCCAAACCUGCCAGGGCCCAAACAAGUUUUUCUUUGAAGGCAACUAACCCAGCUCAUCCUCCAGCAUGGUGGAAAGAUAAAGUCCUGGGGGGUAGGAUUUAUGGUCCUAAGCGCUUCAUAUGCUGCUUUAUAAAUGGAUAUAGAGAU